rnacentral:lncRNA from 1 species
CACUUGGAAAGAUAACAAUGCUAAUUACCUUCGGCUAUGUGGACAACACCAGAACAGAGCAAGUUGUAUUUGACAUUGUUGUCACGCCCGGAUUUAAGGGGUAAAGCCGGGUGCGUCUCAUAUGUGCGCCAAAUAAGAACAACACAUAUAAUGACUAAGUGUAUAGAGAUAAAUAUCACAAACAUUAUUACAUUGCAGAAGUGUUUUACAAAAAUAAAUGAUAACAAUAAAGCGAACUAAUAAUUAUUCCUUGGUGCCAUAAAGCUGACUAGGAGACGCCACCUAGACAAGCUCGUACUCCUCAUAGUAGACCUCCUCUUGGGCUACCUGCUCUUCACCUGUGUGGGGUUUAUAUAUCACAAGGGUGAGCUCACUAAAGAUCAUAACUCAAUAAGUUGUGGGGAAUAAUGUGCAUGAACUCACCAAAGGUGGGAGCUCAUGCGAAGUGUAAGGCUAAUCAACAAAUAAUGGUUAAAGCUGAGCAUUGCUUUUAAUAAGUUGGUCAAAUUUUAUUAGCAGUUACUAAAUGUAAGUAUAUACCAAACCAAAGUAAUAAUAGAUCAAAAUUAAUAAUAAAACCAUAAUGCGAUGCAUAUGACAAAUUGAGUUUAAUUCCAUAAGUUAAUCAUGCGAGAGUCCUGAGCUGCUCAUGACCGCGAGCACGACUAGUGUUGGGACUAUGCUUCGUCGCGCCGAAGGUCUUGAAGGAAGAAGCAGCUUCAGCUGAAGCUGUCCGCGUGCGAUGACCGAAGCUUGAUCUUCAUAAAGCUUCGGAAUUAUGAACCGACUUAAAAGUAGAAAGACCUUUUAGUCCAUAAGCGUUUGAGUCGUUAUUGUAGACUUUUAUGAAGGGCAUGGUUGUAAAUUCUCACAGGCUGUGUCCUGUGCCUAUAAAUAGUGAACAGUACUCCUCUACUGUUCACGCUUUUUUGAUUCGGGUUUUUCAUCAUCUCAUCAUUUUGAGAACCAACCUUUGUCAAGGCAGAGGUAUAAUUGUAUCCAAUACUUAAAUAUAUUGAAUGAAUAUAAUAUAAUUCAUUUACUUUUGAUGCUCUAUAUUUUAUGUUAUUUCGUACAAUUUAACAACGUACUAUUACGAAAACUCAACCUUCGUAAUCGUAUUGUCGUUCGCCUUCGUCUAGAGUGCAUUAUCCCCGAGGGAAUAAUGCUUCAUUGGACGAAGGUCAUUGUCAUUUAAUAUUUUAUGUUGCCUUGUUCUUGAUUCAUAGCGGUUGAGAACAAGUCCCCAACAACUAGUAUACCAGUUUUACACUCUGCAGAGGUUGUACCCUUUACCCACAAGUCAUGUUACCCGUCUGCCAUGGGGUUGUAGGGCCCCAUACACCUCUACCAAGGAAGCGAGGCAGGGUAACACUACAAGGCCUUUACAAAGUUCCACUAGCUUCAGAAAACCCGCUACAGUUUCUAGGGAGAGCAAUAUAAGAAUCUCCCGUCUAAAAAGCCAUAGCAGAAAAAUCAACCCAAGAACCUCCCUAUAUCGACAACUCCCCUACUGCUCUUGCCCCUUUCGGGUAAGGUAGACCUUGAAAGGGAAUUAGGCUUACACCUAGUUCCUAUAUAAUUUUGGUGGUUGAAUUGCCCAACACAAAUAAUUGGACUAACUAGUUUGUUCUAGUGUAUAAGUUAUACAGGUGCAAAAGGUUCACAUCAAGCCAAUUAAAAAGACCAAAGUUGGGUUCAAAUAGAGAGCUAAAGGCAACCGAAGGCACCUCUGGUCUGGGGGCACCGGACUGUCCGGUGUACACCGGACAGUGUCCGGUGCACCACCGGACAUGUCCGGUGCACCAGAGUACUUCAACACAAACUCGCCACCUUCGGGAAUUUCCAGAGGCAACUCCGCUAUAAUUCACCGGACUGUCCGGUGUACACCGGACAUGUCCGGUGCUCCAAGGAAGGGCGGCCUCCGGAACUCGCCAGCCUCGGGUUUUUACUUCAGCUGCUCCGCUAAAAAUCACCGGACUGUCCGGUGUACACCGGACUGUCCGGUGUACACCGGACUGUCCGGUGCAUCCUCAGAGCAACGGCUACUUCGCGCCAACGGCUACCUGCGACGGCAUUUAAUGCGCGCGCAGCGCGCGCAGAAGUCAGAGACGCCCAUGCCGGCGCACCGGACAGUGAACAGUGCAUGUCCGGUGCGCCACCGGACAUCAAGGCGGGCCCAGAAGUCAGAACUCCAACGGUCAAUUUCCAACGGCACUGGUGACGUGGCUGGGGCACCGGACUGUCCGGUGUGCACCGGACUAUCCGGUGCGCCAUCGAACAGACGGCCUCCACCAACGGUCAAGUUGGUGGUUGGGGCUAUAAAUACCCCAACCACCCCACCAUUCAUUGCAUCCAAGUUUUCCACUUCUCAACCACUUACAAGAGCUAGGCAUUCAAUUCUAGACACACCAAAGAGAUCAAAUCCUCUCCAAUUCCACAAAAGGCUUUAGUGAUUGGCGAGAGAGAUUUGCCGUGUUCUUUUGAGCUCUUGCGCUUGGAUUGCUUCUUUUCUUUCUCACUUGCUCUUGUGAUCAACACUCAAUUGUAAUCAAGGCAAGAGGCACCAAUUGUGUGGUGGCCCUUGCGGGGAAGUUUUGUUCCCGGCUUUGAUUUGAGAAGAGAAGCUCACUCGGUCCGAGGGACCGUUUGAGGGAGGGAAGGGUUGAAAGAGACCCGGCCUUUGUGGCCUCCUCAACGGGGAGUAGGUUUGCGAGAACCGAACCUCGGUAAAACAAAUCCGCGUGUCACACUCUUCAUUUGCUUGCAAUUUGUUUUACGCCCUCUCUCGUGGACUCGAUUAUAUUUCUAACGCUAACCCGGCUUGUAGUUGUGAUUAUUUUUGAGAAUUUCAGUUUCGCCCUAUUCACCCCCCCCCCUCUAGGCGACUAUCAAUUGGUAUCGGAGCCCGAUGCUUCAUUAGAGCCUAACCGCUCGAAGUGAUGUCGGGAGAUCACGCCAAGAAGGAGAUGGAGACCGGCGAAAAGCCCACUACAAGCCACGGGAGCACUUCAUCGGAAGAGUCCCGCACAAAGAGGAAGGAGAAGAAGAAGGACUCCUCCAAACGAAAGGAGAAAAGAUCUUCUUCUUCUCACCACAAAGAGAAGAAGGAAAAAUCUUCUUCUCACAAAUCGCAUCGGAAAGGCGACAAGCACAAGAGGAUGAGGAAAGUGGUCUACUACGAGACCGACACUUCUUCAACAUCGACCUCCGACUCCGAUGCGCCCUCCGUAACUUCUAAACGCCAAGAGCGUAAGAAGUUUAGUAAGAUCCCCUUACACUAUCCUCGUACAUCUAGACAUACUCCAUUACUUUCCAUUCCAUUAGGCAAACCACCAACCUUUGACGGUGAAGAUUAUGCUAGGUGGAGUGAUUUAAUGAAAUUUCAUCUAACCUCACUCCACAAAAGUAUAUGGAAUGUUGUUGAGUUUGGAGCACAGGUACCAUCAAUAGGGGAUGAGGAUUAUGAUGAGGACGAGGUGGCCCAAAUCGAGCACUUCAACUCCCAAGCCACAACAAUACUCUUGGCCUCUCUAAAUAGAGAGGAGUACAACAAGGUGCAAGGGUUGAAGAAUGCAAAGGAAAUUUGGGACCUCCUCAAGACCGCGCACGAGGGUGAUGAACUAACAAAGAUCACCAAGCGGGAAACGAUCGAGGGGGAGCUCGGUCGCUUUCGACUUCGCCAAGGGGAAGAGCCACAAGACAUGUACAACCGGCUCAAGACUUUGGUGAACCAAGUGCGCAACCUCGGGAGCAAGAUGUGGGACGAUCACGAGGUGGUUAAGGUUAUUCUAAGAGCUCUCAUUUUCCUUAACCCCACUCAAGUUCAAUUAAUUCGUGGUAAUCCUAGAUACCCACUAAUGACCCCCGAGGAAGUUAUCGGGAAUUUUGUGAGCUUUGAAUGUAUGAUUAAAGGAUCAAAGAAGAUCAACGAGCUUGACGAACCCUCCACAUCCGAGGCACAACCGGUGGCCUUCAAGGCAACGGAGGAAAAGAAGGAGGAGUCUACACCAAGUAGACAACCAAUUGACGCCUCCAAGCUCGACAAUGAGGAGAUGGCUUUAAUCAUCAAAAGCUUUCGCCAAAUCCUCAAGCAACGGAAGGGGAAAGACUACAAAUCCCGUUCCAAGAAGGUUUGCUACAAGUGUGGUAAGCCCGGUCACUUUAUCGCUAAAUGUCCAUUAUCAAGUGACAGUGACAGGGACAACGACAAGAAGGGCAAGAGAAGAGAAAAGAAGAGGUACCACAAGAAGAGGGGCGGCGAUGCCCACGUAUGCCGCGAGUGGGACUCCGACGAGAGCUCCACCGAGUCCUCCUCCGACGAGGACGCCGCCAACAUCGCCGUCACCAAAGGGCUUCUCUUUCUCAACGUCGGCCACAAGUGCCUCAUGGCAAAGGAUGGCAAAAGGAAAAAGGUUAAAUCUAAAUCCUCCACAAAAUAUGAGUCCUCUAGUGAUGAUAAUGCUAGUGAUGAGGAGGAUAACUUGCUUACCCUUUUUGCCAAUCUUAACGUGGAACAAAAGGAAAAAUUAAAUGAAUUGAUUAGUGCUAUUCAUGAAAAAGAUGACCUUUUGGAUUCCCAAGAGGAUUUUCUAAUUAAAGAAAACAAGAAACAUGUUAAGGUUAAAAAUGCUUAUGCUCUAGAAGUAGAAAAAUGUCAAAAACUAUCUAGUGAGCUAAGCACUUGCCAUGACACUAUUGCCAACCUUAGAAAUGAAAAUGCUAGUUUAAUUGCUAAGGUUGAGUCUCAUGUUUGUGAUGCUUCAAUUCCCAAUCUUAGAAAUGAUAAUGAUGACUUGCUUGCUAAGAUUAAGGAAUUGAAUGAUUCUCUUGCUAGCCUUAGAGUAGAAAAUGAAAAUUUGAUUGCUAAGGCUAAAGAUUUUGAUGUUUGCAAUUCUAUUAUUUCCGACCUUAGAACUAAGAAUGAUAUGUUACAUGCUAAGGUUGUUGAAUUAAAAUCUUGCAAACCCUCUACAUCUAAUGUUGAGCAUGUUUCUAUUUGUACUAGAUGUAGAGAUGUUGAUAUCAAUGCUAUUCAUGAUCACAUGUCUUUAAUUAAACAACAAAAUGAUCAUAUAGCAUUAUUAGAUGCAAAAAUUGCCGAGCAUAACUUGGAAAAUGAAAAGUUUAAAUUUGCUAGAAGUAUGCUCUAUAAUGGGAGACGCCCGGGCAUCAAGGAUGGCAUUGGCUUCCAAAGGGGAGACAAUGUCAAACUUAAUGCCCCUCCUAAAAAUUUGUCUAACUUUAUUAAGGGCAAGGCUCCCAUGCCUCAGGAUAACGAGGGUUACAUUCUGUACCCUGCCGGUUAUCCCGAGAGCAAAAUUAAGAGAAUUCACUCUAGGAAGUCUCACUCUGGCCCUAAUCAUGCUUUUAUGUAUAAGGGUGAGACAUCUAGUUCUAGGCAACCAACCCGUGCCAAGUUGCCUAGAAAGAAAACUCCUAUUGCAUCAAAUGAUCAUGCUAUUUCAUUCAAAACUUUUGAUGCAUCAUAUGUGCUUACUAACAAAUCCGGCAAGGUAGUUGCCAAGUUUGUUGGGGGCAAACACAAGGGCUCCAAGACUUGUGUUUGGGUACCCAAAGUUCUUGUGUCUAAUGCCAAAGGACCCAAAACCGUUUGGGUACCUAAAGUCAAGAACUAAAAUUGUUUUGUAGGUUUAUGCAUCCGGGGGCUCAAGUUGGAUACUCGACAGCGGAUGCACAAACCACAUGACAGGGGAGAAAAAGAUGUUCUCCUCAUAUGAGAAAAACCAAGAUCCCCAACGAGCUAUCACAUUCGGGGAUGGAAAUCAAGGUUUGGUCAAAGGACUGGGUAAAAUUGCUAUAUCACCUGACCAUACUAUUUCCAAUGUUUUUCUUGUAGAUUCUUUAGAUUACAAUUUGCUUUCCGUAUCCCAAUUAUGUCAAAUGGGCUACAACUGUCUAUUCACUGAUGUAGGUGUCACUGUCGUUAGAAGAAGUGAUGAUUCAAUAGCAUUUAAGGGAGUGUUAGAGGGUCAGCUAUACUUGGUAGAUUUUGAUAAAGCUGAACUCGACACUUGCUUAAUUGCUAAGACUAACAUGGGUUGGCUCUGGCACCGCCGACUAGCCCAUGUUGGGAUGAAGAAUCUUUAUAAGCUUCUAAAGGGAGAACACAUUUUAGGAUUAACAAAUGUUCAUUUUGAGAAAGACAGGAUUUGUAGCGCAUGCCAAGCCGGGAAGCAAGUUGGAACCCAACAUCCACACAAGAACAUCAUGACGACCGACAGGCCGCUGGAGCUACUCCACAUGGAUCUUUUCGGCUCGAUUGCUUACAUAAGCAUAGGCGGGAGUAAGUAUUGUCUUGUAAUAGUGGAUGAUUAUUCUCGCUUCACUUGGGUGUUCUUUUUGCAGGAAAAAUCUCAAACCCAAGAGACCUUAAAGGGAUUCUUGAGACGGGCUCAAAAUGAGUUCGGCUUAAGGAUCAAGAAAAUUAGAAGCGACAACGGGACGGAGUUCAAGAACUCUCAAAUUGAAGGCUUCCUUGAGGAGGAGGGCAUCAAGCAUGAGUUCUCUUCUCCCUACACUCCACAACAAAAUGGUGUAGUGGAGAGGAAGAAUCGAACUCUAUUAGACAUGGCAAGAACCAUGCUUGAUGAGUACAAGACUUCGGAUCGGUUUUGGGCCGAGGCGGUCAACACCGCUUGCUACGCCAUCAACCGGUUGUAUCUACACCGAAUCCUCAAGAAGACAUCCUAUGAACUCCUAACCGGUAAAAAGCCAAAUAUUUCAUAUUUUAGAGUUUUUGGUAGCAAAUGCUUUAUUCUUGUUAAGAGAGGUAGAAAAUCUAAAUUUGCUCCUAAAACUGUAGAAGGCUUUUUACUAGGAUAUGACUCAAACACAAGGGCAUAUAGAGUCUUUAACAAGUCCUCAGGACUUGUUGAAGUUUCUUGUGACGUUGUGUUUGACGAGACUAACGGCUCUCAAGUAGAGCAAGUUGAUCUUGAUGAGAUAGGUGAAGAACAGGCUCCAUGCAUAGCGCUAAGGAACAUGUCCAUUGGGGAUGUGUGUCCUAAGGAAUCCAAAGAGCCUCCACAUGCACAAGAUCAACCAUCCUCCUCCACGCUAGCAUCUCCACCGACUCAAAAUGAGGAUGAAGCUCAAGUUGAUGAAGUAGAAGAUCAAGCAAAUGAGCCACCUCAAGAUGACGACAAUGAUCAAGGGGGAGAUGCAAAUGAUCAAGACAAGGAGGAUGAAGAGCAAAGGCCGCCACACCCAAGAGUCCACCAAGCAAUCCAACGAGAUCACCCCGUUGACACCAUCCUCGGCGACAUUCAUAAGGGGGUAACUACUAGAUCUCGUAUUGCACAUUUUUUUGAACAUUACUCGUUUGUUUCCUCUAUUGAGCCACACAGGGUAGAGGAAGCACUACAAGAUUCGGAUUGGGUGGUGGCAAUGCAAGAGGAGCUCAACAACUUCACUAGAAAUAAGGUAUGGCAUUUAGUUCCACGUCCUAAUCAAAAUGUUGUAGGAACCAAAUGGGUUUUCCGCAACAAGCAAGAUGAGCAUGGUGUGGUGACAAGGAACAAAGCACGACUUGUGGCCAAGGGAUACUCCCAAGUCGAAGGUUUGGAUUUCGGUGAAACCUAUGCACCCAUAGCUAGGCUUGAGUCAAUUCGCAUAUUAUUAGCCUAUGCUACUUACCAUGGCUUUAAGCUUUAUCAAAUGGACGUAAAAAGUGCCUUCCUCAAUGGACCAAUCAAGGAAGAGGUCUAUGUUGAGCAACCUCCCGGCUUUGAAGACAGUGAGUAUCCUAACCAUGUCUAUAAGCUCUCUAAGGCGCUUUAUGGGCUCAAGCAAGCCCCAAGAGCAUGGUAUGAAUGCCUUAGAGAUUUCCUUAUUGCUAAUGGCUUCAAAGUCGGAAAAGCCGAUCCUACACUCUUUACUAAAACUCUUGAAAAAGACUUGUUUGUAUGCCAAAUUUAUGUUGAUGAUAUUAUAUUUGGGUCUACUAACGAGUCUACAUGUGAAGAGUUUAGUAGGAUUAUGACACAGAAAUUCGAGAUGUCUAUGAUGGGGGAGUUAAAGUAUUUCUUAGGAUUCCAAGUAAAGCAACUCCAAGAGGGCACCUUCAUUAGCCAAACGAAGUACACUCAAGACAUUCUAAACAAGUUUGGGAUGAAGGAUGCCAAGCCCAUCAAGACACCCAUGGGAACCAAUGGGCAUCUCGACCUCGACACGGGAGGUAAGUCCGUGGAUCAAAAGGUAUACCGGUCGAUGAUUGGUUCAUUGCUUUAUUUAUGUGCAUCUCGACCGGACAUUAUGCUUUCCGUUUGCAUGUGUGCAAGAUUCCAAGCCGACCCUAAGGAAUCACACCUUACGGCCGUAAAAUGAAUCUUGAGAUAUUUGGCUUAUACACCUAAGUUUGGGCUUUGGUACCCUCGGGGAUCCACAUUUGAUUUGAUUGGUUAUUCGGAUGCCGAUUGGGCAGGAUGUAAGAUUAAUAGAAAGAGCACAUCGGGGACUUGCCAGUUCUUGGGAAGAUCCUUGGUGUCUUGGGCUUCAAAGAAGCAAAAUUCGGUCGCUCUUUCAACCGCCGAAGCCGAGUAUAUUGCCGCAGGUCAUUGUUGCGCGCAAUUGCUUUGGAUGAGGCAAACCCUGCGGGACUACGGUUACAAAUUAACCAAAGUCCCUUUGCUAUGUGAUAAUGAGAGCACAAUUAAAAUGGCCGACAAUCCUGUCGAGCAUAGCCGCACUAAACACAUAGCCAUUCGGUAUCAUUUUCUUAGGGAUCACCAAGAAAAGGGGGAUAUCGAGAUUUCAUACAUUAACACUAAAGAUCAAUUAGCCGAUAUCUUUACCAAGCCUCUUGACGAACAAACUUUUACCAAACUUAGGCAUGAGCUCAAUAUUCUUGAUUCUAGAAAUUUCUUUUGCUAGUUUGCACACAUAGCAUACAAGUAUACCUUUGAUCAUAUCUCUUUUGUAUAUGCUAUGACUAAUGUGUUUUUAAGAGUAUUUCAAACCAAGUCAUAGGUAUAUUGAAAGGGAAUUGGAGUCUUCGGCGAAGACAAAGGCUUCCACUCCACUCCACUACUCAUCCUUCGCCGUCACUCCGAGAAUCUCUCCAACUUUGGUAUACUCUUCAUUCAUUUAUUUUAUGACCAAAGGAGGAGAAAAUACUUCGAAGGGCUCUAAUGAUUCCGUUUUUGGCGAUUCAUGCCAAAGGGGGAGAAAGGUUGAGCCCAAAGCAAAAGGACCGCACCACCACCAAUUUCAAAAACUCAGUAUUUUCCAAGAGCAUUUUUUCAAUUGGUAUCUUAUUGAGUUCAAAAGGGGGAGAAAAUAGUUUUUCAACUUUAAUCAUCAAAACCCUCUUGAACACUAAGAGGAUGAUUUCAUUUAGGGGGAGUUUUGUUUAGUCAAAAGAAAGGCAUUUGAAACAGGGGGAGAAAAUUUCAAAACUUGAAAAUGCCUUGCAAACUCUUAUUCAUUUACCUUUGACUAUUUGCAAAAGAACUUUGAAAAGAUUUACAAAAGAUUUUUGCAAAAACAAAACAUGUGGUGCAAACGUGGUCCAAAAUGUUAAAAAUGAAGAAACAAUCCAUGCAUAUCUUGUAAGUAUUGAUAUUGGCUCAAUUCCAAGCAACCUUUACACUUACAUCAUACAAACUAGUUCAAUUAUGCACUUCUAUAUUUGCUUUGGUUUGUGUUGGCAUCAAUCACCAAAAAGGGGGAGAUUGAAAGGGAAUUAGGCUUACACCUAGUUCCUAUAUAAUUUUGGUGGUUGAAUUGCCCAACACAAAUAAUUGGACUAACUAGUUUGUUCUAGUGUAUAAGUUAUACAGGUGCAAAAGGUUCACAUCAAGCCAAUUAAAAAGACCAAAGUUGGGUUCAAAUAGAGAGCUAAAGGCAACCGAAGGCACCUCUGGUCUGGGGGCACCGGACUGUCCGGUGUACACCGGACAGUGUCCGGUGCACCACCGGACAUGUCCGGUGCACCAGAGUACUUCAACACAAACUCGCCACCUUCGGGAAUUUCCAGAGGCAACUCCGCUAUAAUUCACCGGACUGUCCGGUGUACACCGGACAUGUCCGGUGCUCCAAGGAAGGGCGGCCUCCGAAACUCGCCAGCCUCGGGUUUUUACUUCAGCUGCUCCGCUAAAAAUCACCGGACUGUCCGGUGUACACCGGACUGUCUGGUGCAUCCACGGAGCAACGGCUACUUCGCGCCAACGGCUACCUGCGACGGCAUUUAAUGCGCGCGCAGCGCGCGCAGAAGUCAGAGACGCCCAUGCCGGCGCACCGGACAGUGAACAGUGCAUGUCUGGUGCGCCACCGGACAUCAAGGCGGGCCCAGAAGUCAGAACUCCAACGGUCAAUUUCCAACGGCACUGGUGACGUGGCUGGGGCACCGGACUGUCCGGUGUGCACCGGACUGUCCGGUGCACCAUCGAACAGACGGCCUCCACCAACGGUCAAGUUGGUGGUUGGGGCUAUAAAUACCCCAACCACCCCACCAUUCAUUGCAUCCAAGUUUUCCACUUCUCAACCACUUACAAGAGCUAGGCAUUCAAUUCUAGACACACCAAAGAGAUCAAAUCCUCUCCAAUUCCACAAAAGGCUUUAGUGAUUGGCGAGAGAGAUUUGCCGUGUUCUUUUGAGCUCUUGCGCUUGGAUUGCUUCUUUUCUUUCUCACUUGCUCUUGUGAUCAACACUCAAUUGUAAUCAAGGCAAGAGGCACCAAUUGUGUGGUGGCCCUUGCGGGGAAGUUUUGUUCCCGGCUUUGAUUUGAGAAGAGAAGCUCACUCGGUCCGAGGGACCGUUUGAGGGAGGGAAGGGUUGAAAGAGACCCGGCCUUUGUGGCCUCCUCAACGGGGAGUAGGUUUGCGAGAACCGAACCUCGGUAAAACAAAUCCGCGUGUCACACUCUUCAUUUGCUUGCAAUUUGUUUUACGCCCUCUCUCGUGGACUCGAUUAUAUUUCUAACGCUAACCCGGCUUGUAGUUGUGAUUAUUUUUGAGAAUUUCAGUUUCGCCCUAUUCACCCCCCCUCUAGGCGACUAUCAGACCUCCACUACCUUUCCUAAUUAGUCAACCAAGGGCGUCCCAUUCCACCCUUGUGAUGGCACGUUUAUCUCAAGUUAAGCUCCAUGUUCCAAUUAACACAACAGUCUUCUCAAGAACAUAAUAGAACAACAAUAAUAAAGCAUGAUCAUGAAUGAUAAUUAUCUUUAACACCCAAAACCACAUAUAGCAAUAGCAUAGACUACCCAAAAAGUUGUGGUAAACAAGGUAUAAAGAUGACCAAACUGGAGUGACCUAUUGGAUCCCAUCAAAAUUAAGAAAAUGAUUAUAGAGAACAUUAUUAAGUAAAUGAAAGUGGUCAAGGGCACAACUUGCCUUCAAUGACCUCCUGCUCAGUAUUUUCCACCUCCUGAGCACCUAGGUCCUCAUUUGCCUGCCCGUCUACUCGCAACAAUACAAACAAACAUUGUACAGGACAAAUUAACAUCACACUAAACAUGAGAACAUAUUGCAUAAUAAAAUUCUACGUAUCGUAACGAGAUCGUUGGUUCGAAAACCACUAAAUUCGGAGUUACGAUUAGAGAGUUACAAUUUUUCAAAGUUUUAAGUGGUUGAUAUAGAAUAGAUUAAGUGCAUAAUUUUAGUCUAUGUUUCAUGAAAAAACAGAGUUACUAGGUGAUAAACAAUAUUAAACGACAUUAAUGCAACUGGAAUGGAUCAAAAAGAAGUUAAAAUGAAUUAGUUAUGAAUUAAAUGUGUUUCUGGAAUUAUUUUUACACUAAAAACAUUUUCUGGUUGAUUUUAUUAAACCUACAAUUUAUUUGGGCUGCGCGCACAAAAACGGAAAGACCAGGGUUUGUUUUAUAAGAAACCAGGACACAACUGUGAUUACUUUAUACUAAGUGUGGAUGUCGGGUUGAUUUGCAUGUUUCUCGGGGGCUCUUAAGAAAAUAUACCAUGGCGAAGGGGUAUGUUCUAUUGUAUGCCGUCCGAUCUAAUUUCUACGCACUAGAUUAGAUCUGUAACCUAGUGAACCGGUACGUCCCACAGGCCUCUGGAUCGAGAUCCAACAGCCCGAAUUUAAUUACUGCGGGUCCAACAAAGGCCCCUCGAUCCUGAUCGAACGGCCCAGGCGCGCUCCACCGAAGCGGUAUGCUCGAUUAAAUCUAAACCGUUCAUCCACCAAUCCACAGCCGACAAUCAAUUCCCCAAGAUCUAAUCCUGGCCCUACUUUGGAAAUCGAUGGCCCCCGGUUGUCUUCCUUCUUCGUGCCGAGCAGGACGGCGUCGCCGCCCACGGGCCCAGCGGAGGCACGUCGGAGUAGCUCCAACCCUCGCUAUACUGUCUAAUUCGACCCCCGAUCAGUGCUACGCAAAGAGAAAUGAAGGCGGACAAAGGUGCUUGGUUUCUUACCGGAGUUGGGGCGACGGACGCGCGAAUUACGGCGCAGCACGGGGCUCAAGGUGCUGGUGCCCUCCGAUGAAAAAUUACCCGGGGUAUCAGGGUUCCUAUCGCUUGAAGAUCCUUUGCCCAGGUGCCACAGACCAUGACUAACACUCAAGGCAAUUCGCAGGGAGCGUGACGACGGUGGCGGUGACUCUCCACGGUGGCCGCCCGAUCACCCCCUGCUCCCUCCUUCCUCGCGAUAAUGGGUAGGCUCUGGUAGUCUAAGCGAUUGAAUCGGUCACAGGGAAUGCAGCGCGACCGAUUU